UUACGGCCACAUCACCUUGAAACACCAGUUCCCGUACGAUCACCGAAGUUAAGCAACGCCGAGCCUGGUCAGUGACCACUUGGGAAUACCAUGUGAUGUAA